rnacentral:rRNA from 1 species
GCGAAGCGAAGCAGUGAUGUGAAGCAAAUCGCNCCAAAGCCAGUCCCAGUUCGGAUAAGAGGCUGAAACUCGCCUCUUUGAAGUCGGAAUCGCUAGUAAUCGCAGAUCAGCAUGUUGCGGUGAAUACGUUCCCGGGUCUUGUACACACCGCCCGUCAAACCAUGAGAGUCACCAACACCCGAAGUCCGCCUUGGCGGCCUAAGGUGGGGGAGAUGACUGGGGUUAAGUCGUAACAAGGUACC